rnacentral:misc_RNA from 1 species
CACCGACUGUGGCAGCACGUGGAAGAACUUUUAAAAUGUCAACAGAAGACAGCAAACAGCCGUCCUUUAAGAACCUAACGUCGAAGAACUAUGCCGUUCCAAAAGAACAUCAACAUCUGCCUUUGCAGGAACUGACCAAACCACAUGUGGAGUCAUUCAACUUUUUCAUGAAAGAGGGCUUAUCCAUAGCAGUCAAGAACAUCCCUUCUACAGAAUUUGCCCUACCAAAUGGAGACCGGGUCAGGUUUAAGUUGUUGGAUGCUACCUUAUAUGAACCCAGGGUUUCUCAGGGCAAUCAUUUCGCGGCAACACAGAAGGUGUACCCUGCAGAGUGUCGAGAGCGAGGCGUCACGUACCGAGGGGUUCUACAUAUACAGCUGAUGUGGUCCGUCAACGACAACAUUAGUGGGACGUUAGACAAGGAAAUUGGAUACAUCCCCAUCAUGGUCAAGUCAGAUGGCUGUAACUUGAGUAAACUAGGUCCAGCAGACCUGAUAAAGAGAGGCGAGGAAGCAGAGGAGAUGGGAGGAUACUUUGUAAUUAACGGACUGGAGAAGGUGAUCAGGAUGCUUGUAAUGCCAAGACGUAAUUUUCCCACCUGUAUGAAGCGCCCCUCAUGGAAGAACCGUGGCAAGCAGUAUACAGAAUUUGGUGUGUCUAUCCGAUGUGUUCUGGACGAUCAGAGUGGCAUCACCAACAUCCUCCACUACCUUUCUAAUGGGAUGGCAACACUUAGUUUUACCUACAACAAGGAGAUGUUCUUUGUACCAGUCGUCUUCAUUCUCAAGGCCCUGGUGAAGGUCACAGACAAGUACAUCUAUGAUGAACUGAUUCAGGGCAAGGAAGACGACUCCUACUAUAAGGGGUGUAUGGUAGCUAUGUUACGACAGGCACAGGAUGAGGGCCUCCUCACACAGUCCAGCAUCCUGAAUCUCAUCGGCGAGCGUUUCCGCAUCAAACUUGAUCUUCCGAUAUGGUAUACAGAAACUGAGGUUGCUAACUACCUUCUAAAACACUGCAUAGCAAUUCACCUGGAAUCCAACACUGAUAAGUUCAACCUGUUGUUAUACAUGACGCGGAAGUUGUUUGCGUUCGCGCGGGGAGAAUGUGCCGAGGAGAGCCCUGACAAUACCAUGUACCAGGAGGUGUUACUCAGCGGUCAUCUCAUGUGUAUGUUUGUAAAGGAGAAGAUCCAUGACUGGGUGAGAAACCUAAAGAUGCAGGUGGAGAAGGAAGCUAAAGUAAAAGACAAGUCAGGCAACAAGUACAAUGUAGAUGAUGGUUCCCUGCAAAACUCUAGUCGUCGUGUCCCGUCCAUUUCCAGGCCAGUGGAGUAUUUAAUGACAACAGGAAACCUCUUAUCUCGGACUGGUCUAGGACUGAUGCAGGUAUCUGGUCUGACCAUUGUUGCAGACAAGCUGAACUUUUUGCGAUACAUUUCACACUUCCGAUGUAUACAUAGAGGCUCGUUCUUCGCGGAAAUGAGAACCACUGCCGUCAGAAAAAUGUUACCAGAAUCAUGGGGAUUUAUUUGUCCCGUACACACCCCUGACGGUACUCCCUGUGGCCUGAUGAAUCACAUGACAGCCCUCUGCAAGAUCGUGAACAAAAUCUACAGUAACGUCCACCUGCCAAAGUUACUGUGUUCCCUGGGAGUGACCCCUUUAGACGCCCCACCCAUGGGAAAGUACAAUGACAACUACCGAGUCAUCGUGGAUGGGAAAAUCAUUGGCAAUGUACAUUACAGUUUGGCGGAAAGCGUGGCACAAAAAAUUCGGGUCAUGAAAGUUGAAGGUCUUAACAAGGUACCCCCGGUGACAGAGAUCGGGUUUGUGCCUCGCACCGAGUUUGCCAGUCAAUAUCCAGGUCUCUUUAUCUUUACGUCACCGGCACGGAUGGUGCGACCUGUCCGGAACCUAAGUCUCAAGAAAAAUGAAAUGAUUGGCACAUUUGAACAAGUCUAUAUGGACAUCAGCUUGAAUGAUGAGGAAACACACCAGCACCAAAAGAGGGUGACCCACCAGGAGCUCACAGAAAUAGCGAUGCUGUCGACGGUGGCCUGCCUCACACCUUUCUCCGACUUCAACCAAAGUCCCAGGAACAUCUACCAGUGUCAGAUGGGUAAACAGACAAUGGGUACUCCCGGUCACGCCCUGGGUCAUAGGGCAGACAACAAGCUGUACAGAAUACAGACUCCUCAGUCACCAAUGGUCCGCCCCUACAUGUACGACUAUUACAACGUUGACGAGUACCCUGUAGGAACCAACGCUGUGGUGGCCGUCAUCUCUUACACUGGGUAUGACAUGGAGGACGCCAUGAUUCUGAACAAGUCAUCGUUUGAGAGGGGCUUUGGACACGCAACAAUUCACAAAGCAGAGAUAAUAAGUUUGGCAGCCAAAGACAAUUCAAGCCGUGGCCAGAAUUCAAAUCUCGUCUUUGGCUGUAAAGGAGCAGAUAUGAAGCGCAUAGAGGGCAAAUUGGACAGUGACGGCCUACCCAAUAUUGGAGCUUAUCUACAGGAAGGGGACCCCUACUACAGCUACUACAACCUACAGACCGGGGAGUCCAAGGUGGAGCGGUACAAAAACGCUGAGCCUGCCCACGUAGACUACAUAAAGAUUCUGGGCAAUGACCUAGGUACCAGCGAGCUCAAUAAAGUCUGCAUUGGGCUUCGGAUCAAGAGAAAUCCAAUCAUAGGAGACAAAUUUGCCAGUCGACACGGCCAGAAAGGAAUUUGUAGUAUGCUGUGGCCGGUGGAGAACAUGCCUUUUACAGAGAGCGGGAUGACGCCGGACAUUCUGUUCAACCCGCACGGCUUCCCAUCCAGAAUGACCAUAGGUAUGAUGAUAGAGAGUAUGGCGGGUAAGUCCGCGGCCAGUCAUGGCCUUUGUCAUGAUGCUACACCAUUCAAGUUUUCUGAAGACCAGCCAGCGAUCGAUUACUUCGGAGAUAUCCUCACUAAAGCUGGCUAUAACUACUAUGGGACAGAGCGUAUGUACAGCGGGUCAAGUGGACUGGAGUUAGAAGCCGACAUCUUCAUAGGAGUGGUGUACUACCAGCGUCUACGGCACAUGGUUUCUGACAAAUUCCAGGUGAGAUCUACAGGUCCUGUUGACCAGUUGACCCACCAACCAGUGAAGGGCAGGAAGCGUGGGGGAGGGAUCAGAUUUGGGGAGAUGGAGAGAGAUGGAAUGAUCGCUCAUGGCACAGCGUUUCUCUUACAGGACCGCCUCCUUAACUGUUCUGAUAAAUCUAUGGUCCAUGUUUGUACAAAGUGUGGUAGUAUGUUAUCUCCCCUGUUGGAGCGGCCGGUGACGGCAGUGGCGGCGUUCACCUCGGAAAUGAGGCGUAAAUGGACAUGCAUGUUGUGUAAACGCUCGGACACUAUCAACGUUAUCACUGUGCCUUUUGUGUUCCGAUACUUAGUGGCAGAACUGGCGGCCAUUAACAUCAAAGUACAGCUGGAGGUCAAAUGAAACUGUAAAGGUCAAUUAAAGGUCGUGUUACUUUGCUGAUGACCAUGUCAAUGUCAUGUUUUCAGUUGUGCAAUAGUAAAGUGGUCAACAAUGGUCUACUGCAUGGUUAUGAUACGAUAAAUAUUAAAACUAUUGGCUGUAUCAAUUCCAGCAGUCAAAACAGAUAAUGUCAAGGUUAUACUUGUCAGAAGAUUCCAUCUAGGUCAUACCUGUCGAAAGAUUUAAUCUAGGUCAUACCUAUCGAAAGAUUUAAUCUAGGUCAUACCUGUCGAAAGAUUUAAUCUAGGUCAUACCAGUCAGUAGAUUCAACCGAGGUCAUACCAGUCAGUAGAUUCAAUCUAGGUCAUACCAGUCAGUAGAUUCAAUCGAGGUCAUACCAGUCAGUAGAUUCAAUCGAGGUCAUACCAGUCAGUAGAUUCAAUCGAGAUCAUACCGGUCAGUAGAUUCAAUCGAGGUCAUACCAGUCAGUAGAAUCAAUCUAGGUCAUACCAGUCAGUAGAAUCAAUCGAGGUCAUACCAGUCAGUAGAUUCAAUCUAGGUUGUACAGGUCAGUAGAUUCAAUCUAUGUCACACUGAUCAGAAAACUCCUGGUAAGACUUUUCAGAGAUCAUACCUAUCACAGAAGUCAAUGUGAAUCUGAUGGUACAUCAUGCUGUAUCUGUAAUUGAAUGUUCAAUGAAUAAUGAAAUCUUCCCCUACUUUGAGGGUGUGACAGAGAAAUCUCCAACCCAAAGGAUAAUAUUCCUGAUUGUCUUACCCUAGGCUUUAGGUAAGGCAAUCAAGAAUAUCAUCCCAAAGAUUUGAGAUUUCUCUGUCACAGCCUCAAAUCAGGCAUCUGAUUUUUCUCCCAUCCUGUUUCACUCACAAAUCCGCCGAAAGCGUUGAUUGCAUGAAAUAUAAGCACUGAUUGCAUGUUUUUCCAGCAAAUCCAGAGUUGUAUUACAUGGUCUGCUACUGUUGACGUGACCUCAAUGCAUUGAUGACUUGAUGUCAUACUAUUGUUAUGAGGCUAUCUCCCCCUAGGGGGUGACAAGCUGAUCUUUUCUGGCUUAAAAGGGAGACACGCCUGUGAAGAGUGGGAGAAAGAUGUCAUAGUAACAAGGUAAUUCCUGAAGAUAUCGUGAUACUACAAUGUAGUACAUCGAAGUGUUAACGGAAUUCCAAAUAGAAGUCAUAUGUUAUGACGGUAAGGGACUUUAACAAAGCAUUAAUGAUCUUUCAAAAUGUUUACAGAUACUCAUCCAUGGUUAUAACGGUCAACAGAUCCUAGCCGUAGUUCAGGAUUUGUCGGGCUGCUCAUGGAAUUCUGGGAAGAAUUCUUUAUGUAUCAUAUUGCUUUAGGUAAUUCCAACUAAAGCAUGUUCUGGUUAUACACUCUAGCUUGUCAUUUUAUCCCUCACAACAAAAGUAGAGAUGGUAUACCGUAAAUAGAUUGUUAGUCGGUCUAUCUUGGCAAACAGAUUCCUAAAUUUAUAAGUCAAUUUCAACAAAACUUUGUAAGCCUGAUCAGUACAUCAUAUUACUGUAUACUUAACAUUUGUAUUUCGGUUUUGACUUUAUUUUUAAGAGUUAUUGCCCUUUCUGUAAAUCGACAACUUUAAUUGUUUGGAUUAUAGACAGCCACAAUGGCUUCUGAUUAGCAGAGACAAUAAGCGUUUAUAACUUGAGUUCUAUAGGUCAGCUUUAUUGAUAGAUUUUGCGAGCGAUACAUACAGGGGGAAAUUUAUAACAAAAGGCCAACUUUUCAAUUUCAGAAUACGAGAUUGCCACCAAGGCAUAUGAUAAGCCGAGACAAUAACAGUUAUAACAUAGAGUCUGAUUGGGCCGACAUUGUUGAUACUAUAUGUAAGUGAUAUAUAGGAAAGAAAAUGCAUAUUAACAGAUCAACUUGCAAAUUCAAGGGUUCAAGAUUGCAGCUACAUGUAUAGUAUCUGAUCAUAAAUGCUUCAAUGGUUGAUAUUGGGUAUUAGUUUGUCCGCUCCUUACAUUUCUAUUGAUCCUCGGCCUGUUCAGCGUGUAAAUGUAGAAUGUCUUAAACAGGGAGCCUGCUGGAAAUGAAGACAUUCAUUUAGGGAGUGUCUGUACUGUAAUUACAAACAUGUUUCAGAUAAUGCAAAUGCUGUUUUCAAAGCUGUUAUGUUUUAUAAGAAAUUGUUAAUUAAAUAUGUUACA